GGACAGGUGGCCGAGUGGCUGAAGGCGCACGCCUGGAAAGUGUGUGAACGGUGAUGAGCCGUUCCGAGGGUUCGAAUCCCUCCCUGUCCG
rnacentral:tRNA from 1 species